rnacentral:lncRNA from 1 species
UAUAUAUACACUUCUGGUAUUGAAUUAUAAAUGUUUUAUGUAAGAUGGUCAUCAUCAGCAUAGCCAUGUAUAAUGUACUAAUCGUUAUUAUUUUUAAAUUAUAUUACAAGCUAGAGUUUGGUCUUCAUUAGCUCAACUAAAGCUGUUUAGGUAGGAUCAAUCCAAGUCAAGUUUCAGGGCUGAUUGGAUGAGCAAUUCCCCUGUUUAGGCCUACUGAGUUUCUGUCUAUAGGAUAAGCAUGUGUAGUACGCCCCUUAUAGUUUAAACUGAGCAUGUCCAUAUUGAAGAACAAAGAAGCAUAUCAUUACAUAGUAUGCGUCAUAUUAAUUCUGUUCGUGAACGUAAGUCGUUGUUUUCAACAAACUUUAAAAUAGGAUUUACUUGACUUUUACUUAUAUUUCAUUUGAUAUUGUUUUGUAUGCAUUACCUUCGACACAGAAAUGCGCAUUUGAAAUUCAAACGGCUUAAGUAUUAUCCAAUGACAAAUUCCAAAAUAUAAACCCCCAAAAUGCAUUUUGAGAAUUACAAAAUUAAUGACGAAUAAUAUAUAUUGUUUAACAAUUUCUUCCAAUGGGUUUAUUAGAACCAAAAAGGUUCCCAUUAAUUUCGUCAGGUUUGCUCACAAAUCACACCAGGUUUGCUGAUGAACCUAAACAUGUUUACUCAAAAGAUACACCAGGUUUGCUCAUGACGUACACUAAGUUUGCUCAUGAAUUACCCCAGGUUUUUCUCAUGAUGUACACCAGGUUUGCUCAUGAAUUACACCAGGUUUGCUCAUCAUGAACUACACCAGGUUUGCCCGUGACGUACAUCAGGUUUGCUCAUGAAUUGCACCAGGUUUGUUCAUGACGUACACGAGGCUUGCUCAUGAAUGACACUAGGUUUGCCCGUGACGUACACCAGGUUUGCUUAUGAAUUACACCAGGUUUGCUCAUGGCGUACACCAUUUUUGCUCAUGAAUUACAUCUUGUUUGCUUAUGAAUUAUAGGAUUUGCUCAUGAAUUCCACCUUGUUUGGUUAUGAAUUAUACCAAUUUUUCUCAUGAAUUACACCAAGGUUGGUCAUGAAUUCAGUUAUUAACAGUUGAUUAAAAUAAAAUAAAACCAGUUUUAUAGAACUUAUUCUCAUUGACUAAAUAAUUAGUCACAUGUUUAGCAUACUGUGCCCUGGAUCAUGCUAAUACACAGUCCCUGUGUAUUAGCGUUGAUUUAUAUGACAUUUGCCUUUACAGUAAUUGAAUUGUUUAACCUGUCACAUUAAUUUUCUCCAUGUUAUUUAAUAUUUGAUUAUUGUAAAUGUAAAUUCCAAUAAUAAAAUGUUAACUGAAAGUUCUACGCAAUAGUUGUAUAUAAUAAUGUGUGGGUAGCUGCAAAGCUGUUCACACAGUAACCGUUGUCUGUUAUGUAAUAUAUUAUAUUAUAAUAAGAAAACCUAUAUUAGGAUUCGAACAUUAGCCAGAUAGUGUAGUAAAGAAUUAUUGUUCAUAGCUAAUUAUCUCAUGCAUAGUUUAAGUGGGAGUGUGUGUGUAUGUAUGUGGGAGUGUAUCGGCGUGUGGGUGCGUAGUGUAGCCUAUAAUAGGUGUGCGCAUGUAUCUGCGGAAAGGGUGUCUGUUCAAAUGUGUUUAUAAAACAAUAUAACAUAUUUACAUAUGUAUUAUAAAUAUACUUAUGUAUGAUACAUACAAGUAUAAUAAUACCUGAGCUAAUUGUAAAAUAACACCUGAAGUUUGAAUUAAGAUAAAAUUGUAUUAUUGUAUAUAUUUAAAGUAAUAUAUAAAAUGUAUAUAAUCAUAUAUAAAUAUGAUAAAUUAUAUAUAUAUAUAUAUAUAUAUAUAUAUACAUCAUAUAUAUGGUAUAUAUGUAUUGUAUAUUAUUCGUAUAUAUACUAUACAUAUAUCUAAUGUCAAUAUUUGAUGUAGGCCUACCAUACAUGGUAUAUACCGUAGAUACUAUGUUUAUUUAUACUAAUUGUAUAUAUACUGGAGUGUAUGUAUGACGCAUGUGUGUGUGUGUGCGCAUGAGCAUGAGCAUUAAUAUGCAAAUAUUUCAAUUAGCUUAGAAUAUAUACAUAAAUAAAAGAAAUACAGGUGCUUAGAAAAUUUUCAUACUUGUACACGUGUUACUUAGGUUUACAGGGUCAUAUGUGGGUUACAUAUUUACUUUGGAAUAUUUUGUUUAGAUUAAAAGUUUAGAAACAAUA